rnacentral:rRNA from 1 species
UACGUAGGGGGCAAGCGUUGUCCGGAAUCAUUGGGCGUAAAGGGCGCGUAGGUGGCCUUCUAAGUUGAACGUGAAAUCCCUGGGCUCAACCCAGGAACUGCGUCCAAGACUGGGAGGCUUGAAUCCGGGAGAGGGAUGCGGAAUUCCAGGUGUAGCGGUGAAAUGCGUAGAUAUCUGGAGGAACACCGGUGGCGAAGGCGGCAUCCUGGACCGGUAUUGACACUGAGGCGCGAAAGCCAGGGGAGCAAACGGG